rnacentral:rRNA from 1 species
UACGGAGGAGGCAAGCGUUAUCCGGAAUUAUUGGGCGUAAAGCGUCCGCAGGUGGCUAUUCAAGUCUGCGGUCAAAGACUGGGGCUUAACCCUGGAAAGGCCGUGGAAACUGAAGAGCUAGAGUGCAGUAGGGGUAGAGGGAAUUCCCGGUGUAGCGGUGAAAUGCGUAGAGCUCGGGAAGAACAUCGGUGGCGAAAGCGCUCUGCUGGACUGCAACUGACACUCAGGGACGAAAGCUAGGGGAGCGAACAGG